UGCAGCCCCGCCCCCAUAAUUGACGUUUCUCGGUAUCGAAAUAAGAAAAUUAAAUAAAUAAAACUAAUGAAUGAUUGCAGAAAGCGCGUCAAAAGUGAACAGACGCACCGAAACACCUGCACGAAGGUUCCAACGUCACGUGUGGAGCGUUCUGGAGUGAUGAAGUUUGCAUUGGAGCAAAUAACCCACGUGCUGGGUUUCAGACAUUCCAUGGAGAUUCCCUCACUGGAGGAGAUGGUGAGCCUGAGUCCACUGUAAAGGGAUCCAGCAUCAUCAUGUGGUAGGACUGUUUAAGAGACUGAGCAAAACAUCAGGUUACAGGUGUUAAAAGGAAAAAUCCACGACUCUACUACUGUGGAAUUAAAUUUCACAAGC
rnacentral:lncRNA from 1 species